rnacentral:rRNA from 1 species
UGAGUACGAGCUGCUACGGCAGCGAAGUGGGUGAUGUCAUGCUUCCAAGAAAAGCCCUAUACCCGUUAAGGCAUGAUGGCCUGUACCCGAAACCGACACAGGUGGGGUGGUAGAGAAUACCGAGGGGCGCGAGGUAACUCUCUCUAAGGAACUCGGCAAAAUGGCCCCGUAACUUCGGGAGAAGGGGUGCCACCGCAAGGUGGUCGCAGUGAAGAGGCCCAGGCGACUGUUUACCAAAAACACAGGUCUCCGCUAAGUCGCAAGACGAUGUAUGGGGGCUGACGCCUGCCCAGUGCCGGAAGGUUAAGGAAGCUGGUCAGCGUAAGCGAAGCUAGCGACUGAAGCCCCGGUGAACGGCGGCCGUAACGAUAACGGUCCUAAGGUAGCGAAAUUCCUUGUCGGGUAAGUUCCGACCCGCACGAAAGGCGUAACGAUCUGGGCGCUGUCUCGGAGAGAGGCUCGGCGAAAUAGAAUUGUCUGUGAAGAUGCGGACUACGUGCACCCGGACAGAAAGACCCUAUGAAGCUUUACUGUAGCUUGGUAUUGUGCUCGGGCUCGGAAUGCGCAGGAUAGGUGGGAGGCUAUGAACCAUUGCUUGUGGGUGAUGGUGAGCCACUGGUGAGAUACCACUCUUUCCGAGCUAGAGUUCUAACAGCCACCCGUUAUCCGGGGGCUGGACAGUAUCAGGUGGGCAGUUUGACUGGGGCGGUCGCCUCCUAAAAGGUAACGGAGGCGCGCAAAGGUUUGCUCAGGCUGGUUGGAAAUCAGCCGACGAGUGUAAAAGCAGAAGCAAGCUUGACUGUGAGACCUACAAGUCGAACAGGGAGGAAACUCGGCUUUAGUGAUCCGACGGUUCUCGUGGAAGGGCCGUCGCUCAACGGAUAAAAGUUACUCUAAGGAUAACAGGCUGAUCUCCCCCAAGAGUUCACAUCGACGGGGAGGUUUGGCACCUCGAUGUCGGCUCAUCGCAACCUGGGGCUGAAGUCGGUCCCAAGGGUUGGGCUGUUCGCCCAUUAAAGCGGUACGCGAGCUGGGUUCAGAACGUCGUGAGACAGUUCGGUCCAUAUCCGGUGCAUGCGCAGGAAUAUUGAGAGGAUUUCUCCCUAGUACGAGAGGACCGGGAGGAACGCACCUCUGGUGUACCAGUUAUCGUGCCAACGGUAAACGCUGGGUAGCCAUGUGCGGAGAGGAUAACCGCUGAAAGCAUCUAAGUGGGAAGCCCACCUCAAGAUGAGUAUUCCCAUGGGGUAACCCAGUAAGGUCACGGGAAGAACACCCGUUGAUAGGCUCUACGUGGAAGCGCAGUAAUGUGUGAAGCGGAGGAGUACUAAUAGACCGAGGGCUUGACC